rnacentral:rRNA from 1 species
AGUGAACGCUGGCGGUAGGCCUAACACAUGCAAGUCGAACGGCAGCACAGUAAGAUCUCGCUCUUACGGGUGGCGAGUGGCGGACGGGUGAGGAAUACAUCGGAAUCUACUUUUUCGUGGGGGAUAACGUAGGGAAACUUACGCUACUACCGCAUACGACCUACGGGUGAAAGCAGUGGAUCUUCGGACCUUGCGCGAUUGAAUGAGACGAUGUCGGAUUAGCUAGUUGGCGAGGUAAAGGCCCACCAAGGCGACGAUCCGUAGCUGGUCUGAGAGGAUGAUCAGCCACACUGGAACUGAGACACGGUCCAGACUCCUACGGGAGGCAGCAGUGGGGAAUAUUGGGCAAUGGGCGAAAGCCUGAUCCAGCCAUACCGCGUGGGUGAAGAAGGCCUUCGGGUUGUAAAGCCCUUUUGUUGGGAAAGAAAAGCAGCAGGUUAAUACCCCGCUGUUCUGACGGUACCCAAAGAAUAAGCACCGGCUAACUACGUG